UAUUCUUUUGUCACCGCUUCUGUGAAAUUUUUAUUAUGUAGUUCGGACACCCACUAUAUGGUGACGUUUUUGGUGUCCAACAACAAGAACAACCUAAUUAUGAGCCAUUGAAAAGUUCCAGGCAGAGCUCAGGUAACCACCACUGCCAUUUCAUAUGGAUAUCUGUCCAUUGGAUGCAUCUUUUUUUAAUAUCAAAGCAGUACUUUGAGAAUUUGAUUGAGAGAGGAAAAGAGAAGCGAGCUAGAGGAAAUGGUGCACUGGAUAACUGAACCUCUCCACUUCGUGCGGCCAAUGAAAAGGCUCAAGCAGUGUCCAGGCUGGAAUUUGAUGCGAUAUAAGAAAGGAGAUGUGAACUACAGUUUCUCAAGAAUGUAAGAACAUGUUUGUUGUUGUUUCGCUUUAACAUUCUCCUCGAUACAUUUGAUGUGGUUGCAAUGCCAUUUGAUAAAAAAGAAUUUCCAUUCUCGUGUUGCUGGUGUUGGAAUUAUGUCCUUUCUAGGCCUUAAAUCCCUUCAUUCUCAAUGACUCUAUACUUGAGUGUGAGUAUAAGAGUGACAUGACUCUAGAAUCUUGACGCACUGGGACCAAGAGUCAUAGAACCCCGAUUCGGUCAUGAGAUGUUUUGGUAUAUAGAAGGUACCGAGAGGGUUGAGGGUUCAAGGUCGGUUGAUAUGAUAUGUACCCAUGACCAUAUGAUAAGACAAGAUGAUACAAUGUUCAUGUGAGCUUGAUGAUUACAUGGAGCGUGAAAGAGAUAUUUCCCAUAUAUGACUGUUCUCUCUACGUGACCAAUUCAUAGAGAGAGAAGUUCACCUUCCGUGACCUACUUGAAGCCCGUUCUUGAGGGAGGAUCAAACCUGAGGAUUAGUAUCCAAGUGUUUAGACUCAGGUAUACGGGCUGAUAUGCCUCUUGAUAUUAUUUCUCCUCUUUUAUAUGUCUGUAUGUUUUCUUCCUUAUAAGCGAAUGUAUAGGUUUCAAGGGCUGAAUCAAAAGUGUUCAACCUAUUUUCAUUUUUCUUUAGCUGAUGUAAAUUGUAAUAGGGGAUUAAACCUUUGAAAUUGUUUCUUUCCCAGUAUAUGAUAUAAAACCUAUGUUUCUAUGAUAUGAAAUACACGGGCGAAUUUAGUCCCAA